UACGUAGGGGGCGAGCGUUGUCCGGAUUUAUUGGGCGUAAAGAGCUCGUAGGCGGUUUGGUAAGUCGGGUGUGAAAUCUCCACGCUCAACGUGGAGGGGCCACUCGAUACUGCCAUGACUCGAGUCCGGUAGAGGAGUGUGGAAUUCCCGGUGUAGCGGUGAAAUGCGCAGAUACCGGGAGGAACACCCGUAGCGAAGGCGGCACUCUGGGCCGGAACUGACGCUGAGGAGCGAAAGCGUGGGGAGCAAACAGG
rnacentral:rRNA from 1 species